rnacentral:misc_RNA from 1 species
GAUGAAGAACGUAGCGAAAUGCGAUAAGUAAUGUGAAUUGCAGAAUUCAGUGAAUCAUCGAAUCUUUGAACGCACAUUGCGCCCGCCAGUAUUCUGGCGGGCAUGCCUGUUCGAGCGUCAUUUCAACCAUCAAGCCCCCGGCUUGUGUUGGGGACCUGCGGCUGCCGCAGGCCCUGAAAACCAGUGGCGGGCUCGCUAGUCACUCCGAGCGUAGUAAUACAUCUCGCUCAGGGCGUGCUGCGGGUUCCGGCCGUUAAAAGCCUUAUUUACCCAAGGUUGACCUCGGAUCAGGUAGGAAGACCCGCUGAACUUUAGCAUAUCAAUAAGCGGAGGA